ensembl:Y_RNA Y_RNA Y RNA
GGUUGGUUGGAAAGUAGUGAGUUAUUUUAAUUGGUUGUUCACAGUCAGUUACAGAUCGAACUUACUCUCUUUUCCUCCUUCUCACUACUGCACUGGACUUAAA